UAUCUUGGACUUUUAUUUGUUGCAGAGUUUCUCAUAAAAAUCUGCAAACGAAUUACAAACUGCGGUUAAUGAGACAAAGCCUGGCUGAUUUGGAAAAGCUGCCCUAAAAAAAACACAGAAAGGAAAUAUUUCUGUAUCCAGUUCUAGACAGCUGAAGAACAAACGAACCAACUCCAAAUCAACAGAAUGGUAUAAACAGGAUGAAAAAUGCAUAUAUGCCAAACCCAAUUAUGAACUAACUUUACAGAAGGGUGCAAGCUUUUCUCAGCCAGAGAAAUCAUCUGAGAUUUCUUGU